CCUACGGGUGGCAGCAGUGAGGAAUAUUGGUCAAUGGGCGCUAGCCUGAACCAGCAAAGUAGCGUGAAGGAUGACUGCCCUAUGGGUUGUAAACUUCUUUUAUAUGGGAAUAAAGUGCAGUAUGUAUACUGCUUUGCAUGUACCUUAUGAAUAAGGAUCGGCUAACUCCGUGCCAGCAGCCGCGGUAAGAAGGAGGAUCCGAGCGUUAGCCGGAUUGAUUGGGGUUAAAGGGAGCGUAGGCGGGUUGUUAAGUCAGUUGGGAAAGGUUGCGGCUCAACCGUAGAAUGGCAGUUGAUACUGGCAGCCUUGAGUACAGGAGAGGUAGGCGGAAUUCGUGGUGUAGCGGUGAAAUGCGUAGAUAUCACGAAGAACACCGAUUGCGAAGGCAGCCUGCUGGACUGCAACUGACGCUGAUGCGCGAAAGUGUGGGUAUCAAACAGGAUUAGAUACCCCAGUAGUC
rnacentral:rRNA from 1 species